rnacentral:snRNA from 1 species
AGAUAUAAAGGUCAUCUGGUUACAGCACCUGAUACCCCACUGAUUGCCAGGAUCAAUGCUAAUGAUCUGGCUGAUGGUGUCCCUUUCCUCCCUAACUGCCUCAAAGGUGUCCAUUCCAGAGUGGCACACUCAGUCAAAGUGGAUGACCUUCACCACAGAGGAGGACCAAUCAUUGGCCAAGGGUAUUCGAGUAGCUGCUAGAACCUCCAAACAAGCUCUCAAGUAUUCUCAAAAACACAGUGCUCCAUCCUGAAGGAAGGGCUUGCU